rnacentral:rRNA from 1 species
GACGAACGCUGGCGGCGUGCCUAAUACAUGCAAGUCGAGCGGAGUAAAAAGCGUGCUUGCACGGUUUUUAUUUAGCGGCGAACGGGUGAGUAACACGUAGGUAACCUGGCCAUAAGACAGGGAUAACGCACGGAAACGUGAGCUAAAACCAGAUAGGCAUUUUCCACGCAUGAGGGAGAUGAGAAAGGCGGAGCAAUCUGCCGCUUAUGGAUGGACCUGCGUCGCAUUAGCUAGUUGGAGUGGUAAAGGCACACCAAGGGCGACGGAUGCGUAGCCGACCUGAGAGGGUGAGCGGCCACACUGGGACUGAGACACGGCCCAGACUCCUACGGGAGGCAGCAGUAGGGAAUCUUCCGCAAUGGACGAAAGUCGUGACGGAGCAACGCCGCGUGAGUG